rnacentral:tRNA from 1 species
UCUAGGGUAGCUCAAUAGGUUAGAGCGUCGGUGUCUAAAGCCGAAGGUUGUGGGUUCGAAUCCCUCCCCCAGAG